CCUACGGGUGGCAGCAGUGAGGAAUAUUGCUCAAUGGACGCAAGCCUGAACCAGCCAUGCCGCGUGCAGGAAGACGGCUCUAUGAGUUGUAAACUGCUUUUGUACGAGGGUAAACGCAGAUACGCGUAUCUGUCUGAAAUUAUCGUACGAAUAAGGAUCGGCUAACCCCGUGCCAGCCGCCGAGGCAAUACGGAGGAUUCAAGCGUUACCCGGAUUUAAUGGGUGUAAAGGGUGCGUAGGCGGUCGGAUAAGUUAGAGGUGAAAUCCCGAGGCUCAACUUCGGAAUUGCCUCUGAUACUGGUCGCCUAGAGAGUAGUUGCGGUAGGCGGAAUGUAUGGUGUAGCGGUGAAAUGCUUAGAGAUCAUACAGAACACCGGUUGCGAAGGCAGC
rnacentral:rRNA from 1 species